rnacentral:rRNA from 1 species
AUUGAACGCUGGCGGCAUGCUUUACACAUGCAAGUCGAACGGCAGCAUGGGUGCUUGCACCUGAUGGCGAGUGGCGAACGGGUGAGUAAUGUAUCGGAACGUAUCCGGAAAUGGGGGAUAACGUAGCGAAAGUUACGCUAAUACCGCAUAUGCCCUGAGGGGGAAAGGUGGGGAUCGCAAGACCUAUCGUUUUCGGAGCGGCCGAUAUCAGAUUAGCUUGUUGGUGAGGUAAAGGCUCACCAAGGCGACGAUCUGUAGCUGGUCUGAGAGGACGACCAGCCACACUGGGACUGAGACACGGCCCAGACUCCUACGGGAGGCAGCAGUGGGGAAUUUUGGACAAUGGGGGCAACCCUGAUCCAGCCAUGCCGCGUGAGUGAAGAAGGCCUUCGGGUUGUAAAGCUCUUUCGGACAGAAAGAAAUCGCACUUACUAAUACUAGGUGUGGAUGACGGUACUGUAAGAAGAAGCACCGGCUAACUACGUGCCAGCCGCCGCCGUAA